AACCGCCGUAUACGGACCCGUACGUACGGUGGUGUGAGAGGUCGGAGAAAUUAUCUCCUCCUACUCGAU
rnacentral:ncRNA from 1 species